GCUCCCGUAGCUCAGUUGGAUAGAGCAUUAGCCUUCUAAGCUAAGGGUCGCAGGUUCGAAUCCUGCCGGGGGCG
rnacentral:tRNA from 1 species